UAAUCUGACUAUUGGAGAUCUCACCAGUUUCUUUGUCAAUGAUGUGGGAGAUGUUUACUUCUAAUGAGACAAGGGACAACAGAGUGGAACAGAGUGUGAAACAAGGGGCUGCUGAUUCGUGUUUUGGUGCAGAACAUUCGAUGCGCAGGAAUGCUUAAUGAUGUUAAGUAGAAGUUACCUAUUCUUAAAAGGUAGGAUCAACAG
rnacentral:lncRNA from 1 species